AUUGAACGCUGGCGGCAGGCCUAACACAUGCAAGUCGAGCGGAUGAAGGGAGCUUGCUCCUGGAUUCAGCGGCGGACGGGUGAGUAAUGCCUAGGAAUCUGCCUGGUAGUGGGGGAUAACGUCCGGAAACGGGCGCUAAUACCGCAUACGUCCUGAGGGAGAAAGUGGGGGAUCUUCGGACCUCACGCUAUCAGAUGAGCCUAGGUCGGAUUAGCUAGUUGGUGGGGUAAAGGCCUACCAAGGCGACGAUCCGUAACUGGUCUGAGAGGAUGAUCAGUCACACGGGAACUGAGACACAGUCCAGACUCCUACGGGGGGCAGCAGUGGGGAAUAUUGGGCAAUGGGCGAAAGCCUGAUCCAGCCAUGCCGCGUGUGUGAAGAAGGUCUUCGGAUUGUAAAGCACUUUAAGUUGGGAGGAAGGGCAGUAAGUUAAUACCUUGCUGUUUUGACGUUACCAACAGAAUAAGCACCGGCUAACUUCGUG
rnacentral:rRNA from 1 species